rnacentral:rRNA from 1 species
GGGUGAGUAAUACCUACGGAAUCUGCCUGAUAGUGGGGGAUAACGUUCGGAAACGGACGCUAAUACCGCAUACGUCCUACGGGAGAAAGCAGGGGACCUUCGGGCCUUGCGCUAUCAGAUGAGCCUAGGUCGGAUUAGCUAGUUGGUGAGGUAAUGGCUCACCAAGGCUACGAUCCGUAACUGGUCUGAGAGGAUGAUCAGUCACACUGGAACUGAGACACGGUCCAGACUCCUACGGGAGGCAGCAGUGGGGAAUAUUGGACAAUGGGCGAAAGCCUGAUCCAGCCAUGCCGCGUGUGUGAAGAAGGUCUUCGGAUUGUAAAGCACUUUAAGUUGGGAGGAAGGGCAGUUACCUAAUACGUGAUUGUCUUGACGUUACCGACAGAAUAAGCACCGGCUAACUCUGUGCCAGCAGCCGCGGUAAUACAGAGGGUGCAAGCGUUAAUCGGAAUUACUGGGCGUAAAGCGCGC